GCAAAACAUGGUUGUUUCGUGUUGCGCUUAUGGCUGUACUCAGCGUUUUGUCGGGGAAAUGGCAUUACAUUUCACGUGUUCUGUAAGGAUGAAAACCGAAGGCAGCUUUGGAUACAGG